rnacentral:misc_RNA from 1 species
GAUGAAGAACGUAGCGAAAUGCGAUAAGUAAUGUGAAUUGCAGAAUUCAGUGAAUCAUCGAAUCUUUGAACGCACAUUGCGCCCCUUGGUAUUCCGAGGGGCAUGCCUGUUCGAGCGUCAUUAUAACCCCUCAAGCUCAGCUUGGUGUUGGGGCCUGCUGCACUGGCAGCCCUUAAAAUCAGUGGCGGCGCCAUCUGGCUCUAAGCGUAGUAAUUCUUCUCGCUAUGGAGUCCUGGUGGAUGCUUGCCAUCAACCCCCAAUUUUUCUAUGGUUGACCUCGGAUCAGGUAGGGAUACCCGCUGAACUUAAGCAUAGCAAUAAGCGGAGGA